AUUGAACGCUGGCGGCAUGCCUUACACAUGCAAGUCGAACGGUAACAGGUUAAGCUGCCGAGUGGCGAACGGGUGAGUAAUGUAUCGGAACGUGCCCAGUCGUGGGGGAUAACUGCUCGAAAGAGCAGCUAAUACCGCAUACGACCUGAGGGUGAAAGCGGGGGAUCGCAAGACCUCGCGCGAUUGGAGCGGCCGAUAUCAGAUUAGGUAGUUGGUGAGGUAAAGGCUCACCAAGCCGACGAUCUGUAGCUGGUCUGAGAGGACGACCAGCCACACUGGGACUGAGACACGGCCCAGACUCCUACGGGAGGCAGCAGUGGGGAAUUUUGGACAAUGGGCGCAAGCCUGAUCCAGCCAUGCCGCGUGCGGGAAGAAGGCCUUCGGGUUGUAAACCGCUUUUGUCAGGGAAGAAAGGGUUCUGGCUAAUACCUGGGACUCAUGACGGUACCUGAAGAAUAAGCACCGGCUAACUACGUG
rnacentral:rRNA from 1 species